UACAGAGGUCUCAAGCGUUGUUCGGAUUCAUUGGGCGUAAAGGGUGCGUAGGCGGCGCGGUAAGUCGGGUGUGAAAUCUUGGAGCUUAACUCCGAAACUGCAUUCGAUACUGCCGUGCUUGAGGACUGGAGAGGAGACUGGAAUUUACGGUGUAGCGGUGAAAUGCGUAGAUAUCAGGAGGAACACCGAUGGCGAAGGCAGGUCUCUGGGCCAUAACUGACGCUGAGAAGCGAAAGCAUGGGGAGCGAACAGG
rnacentral:rRNA from 1 species